rnacentral:lncRNA from 1 species
AAAAAUAAAAAUUUAAAAAAAAAAAAAAAAAAAAAAAGAAACUCAAAAGAAAGCAACCAUUUGUCUCUCAUCUACCUAUGAACUGGAAGCCCCCUCGCCACUUGGAGUUGUCCCAACUUUGCUUCAAGUUGUCC